rnacentral:rRNA from 1 species
UACGUAGGGUGCGAGCGUUGUCCGGAAUUAUUGGGCGUAAAGGGCUCGUAGGCGGUUUGUCGCGUCGGGAGUGAAAAUCCAGGGCUUAACUCUGGACUGGCUUCCGAUACGGGCAGACUAGAGGUAUGCAGGGGAGAACGGAAUUCCUGGUGUAGCGGUGAAAUGCGCAGAUAUCAGGAGGAACCCCGGUGGCGAAGGCGGGUCUCUGGGCCGAUACUGACGCUGAGGAGCGAAAGCGUGGGGAGCGAACAGG